GACAGAGGGUGCAAACGUUGUUCGGAAUUACUGGGCGUAAAGCGUGUGUAGGCGGCCAAGCAAGUCGGAUGUGAAAGCCCAGGGCUCAACCCUGGAAGUGCACUCGAUACUGCUUGGCUUGAGUAUCGGAGAGGUUGGUGGAAUUCUCGGUGUAGAGGUGAAAUUCGUAGAUAUCGAGAGGAACACCGGUGGCGAAGGCGGCCAACUGGACGAAUACUGACGCUGAGACACGAAAGCGUGGGGAGCAAACAGG
rnacentral:rRNA from 1 species